CAAAUCUAGGCAUAUCAUAAGCGGAGGAAUCACUAGUGAAUCGCGGCCGCCUGCCGACCAUUGGGAAUCCACGUUGAGCAGCUUUUCCACCUAAGCGAU
rnacentral:rRNA from 1 species